GGGUCGUUAGCUCAGUUGGUAGAGCACGGGACUUUUAAUCCUGGGGUCGUAGGUUCGAAUCCUACACGGCCUA
rnacentral:tRNA from 2 species